rnacentral:rRNA from 1 species
AGAGUUUGAUCCUGGCUCAGGACAAACGCUGGCGGCGUGCGUAACACAUGCAAGUCGGACGAGGGGAUGGGUCCUUUCGGGGAGCUAUCUUUCGAGUGGCGGACGGGUGAGUAACACGUGGAUAACCUACCCUGGUGUGGGGGAUACCCUGUAGAAAUACGGGCUAAUACCGCAUGGGGUGGCGAUCGGGGAGCCGAUGG